rnacentral:rRNA from 1 species
UCGCCUGUUUAACAAAAACAUGUCUUAUWGAAGAAUUUAUUUUAAGUCAAACCUGCUCAAUGAUUUAAGAUUAAAUAGCCGCAGUAUUUUGACUGUGCAAAGGUAGCAUAAUCAUUUGUCUUUUAAUUGUAGGCUGGAAUGAAUGGUUGGAUGAAAUAUUAACUUUCUUUGUUUUAUAAUUAAAAGAAUUUAAUAUUUUAGUUAAAAAGCUAAAAUGUUUCUGUAAGACGAGAAGACCCUAUAGAAUUUUACUUAAUAUUAAAUAAUUACAUCUCUAUUAUUACCAUGUGUUAAGCACAUAUUAAGUCUUGUUGGGGUGAUAGGGAAAUUUUAUUAACUUUCUUUAAAAAUAAUUUACUGAUUUGUAUA